AUUGAACGCUGGCGGCAUGCCUUACACAUGCAAGUCGAACGGUAACAGGUCUUCGGAUGCUGACGAGUGGCGAACGGGUGAGUAAUACAUCGGAACGUGCCCGAUCGUGGGGGAUAACGCAGCGAAAGCUGUGCUAAUACCGCAUACGAUCUACGGAUGAAAGCGGGGGAUCGCAAGACCUCGCGCGGACGGAGCGGCCGAUGGCAGAUUAGGUAGUUGGUGGGAUAAAAGCUUACCAAGCCGACGAUCUGUAGCUGGUCUGAGAGGACGACCAGCCACACUGGGACUGAGACACGGCCCAGACUCCUACGGGAGGCAGCAGUGGGGAAUUUUGGACAAUGGGCGCAAGCCUGAUCCAGCCAUGCCGCGUGCAGGAUGAAGGCCUUCGGUUGUAACUGCUUUGUACGGAACGAAAAGUUACUCUCUAAUAAGGGGACGGAAGUGACGGUACCGUAAGAAUAAGCACCGGCUAACUACGUGCCAGCAGCCGAC
rnacentral:rRNA from 1 species